rnacentral:rRNA from 1 species
AUUGAACGCGGGCGGCAUGCUUUACCAUGCAAGUCGAACGGCAGCACGAAAGAGCUUGCUCUUUUGGUGGCGAGUGGCGAACGGUGAGUAAUGCAUCGGAACGUACCGAGUAAUGGGGGAUAACUAUCCGAAAGGAUAGCUAAUACCGCAUACGCUUUGAGAAGGAAAGUGGGGGCUCUUCGGACCUCACGUUAUUCGAGCGGCCGAUGUCUGAUUAGCUAGUUGGUGGGGUAAAGGCCUACCAAGGCGACGAUCAGUAGCGGGUCUGAGAGGAUGAUCCGCCACACUGGGACUGAGACACGGCCCAGACUCCUACGGGAGGCAGCAGUGGGGAAUUUUGGACAAUGGGCGCAAGCCUGAUCCAGCCAUGCCGCGUGUCUGAAGAAGGCCUUCGGGUUGUAAAGGACUUUUGUUAGGGAAGAAAAGGAUAGUGUUAAUACCAUUAUCUGCUGACG